AUGGCCGGCGCGGAGAGGGAGAGGAGAAAGAUGCCGCUGCUGCCGGCGCUGCCCCUGGCCACGCUGAUCGGGCGCGAGCUCCGCGCCGGGGGCUCCGAGCGCCCGGCGCUGCGCUACGGCCACGCCGGCUUCGCCAAGCGCGGCGAGGACUACUUCCUCGUCAAGCCCGACUGCCUCCGCGUCCCCGGCGACCCUUCCACCGCCUUCUCCGUCUUCGCCGUACUGCUCUCCCCCUCUCCCCGCCCCCGUCCUUCGUGUCCGGUUCGUCGUUGGUUUGUGGAAAUCUGUGAUCUGACGGGUUCGCUGGAUCUGUGGCCGUUUCGCCAGGUGUUCGACGGCCACAAUGGGGUGUCGGCGGCGGUGUUCAGCAAGGAGCACCUGCUGGAGCACGUGAUGAGCGCGCUCCCGCCGGACAUCGGCAGCCGCGAGGACUGGCUGCAGGCGCUGCCCCGCGCGCUCGUCGCCGGCUUCGUCAAGGCCGACAUCGACUUCCAGCGCAAGGGGGAGGUGUCGGGGACGACGGCUACGCUGGUCGUCGUCGACGGGUUCACGGUCACCGUGGCGUCGGUCGGGGAUUCUCGGUGCAUCCUGGACACGCAGGGCGGCGAGCUGCAGCUGCUAACCGUCGAUCACAGGCUGGAGGAGAAUGUCGAGGAGAGGGAGCGUGUCACGGCGAGCGGUGGGGAGGUCGGCCGUCUGAAUCUCUUCGGCGGUCAGGAGGUUGGCCCUCUCCGUUGUUGGCCAGGUGGUUUGUGCCUCUCAAGAUCCAUUGGAGACAUGGAUGUUGGGGAGUACAUUGUGCCGGUUCCACAUGUCAAGCAAGUGAAGCUCUCAAGUGUCGGAGGAAGGCUGAUAAUGGCAUCUGAUGGCAUAUGGGAUGCGCUAUCCAAUGAGGCAGCGGCCAAGUCAUGCCGAGGAUUGCCUGCAGAACUCGCUGCAAAGCUUGUGGUUAAGCAAGCUUUGAAAAAAUGUGGGCUGAAAGAUGAUACCACCUGUGUGGUGGUUGACAUCAUCCCAUCUGAUCAUCAUUUGACAUCGCCACAGUUAUCCCCAAAGAGAAAUCAGAACAAGCUCAAGUCUCUUCUUUUUCGUAGAAGGUCGCACAGUUCAGUUGGAAAGUUUGGAGGCAAGUCUGCCUCUAUUGGUUCCGUGGAGGAGUUAUUUGAGGAAGGCUCUGCAAUGUUGGAAGAAAGGCUGGGUAGGAAUCUGUCCUUGAAAGCAGCUUCGCCGCCUUCUCGCUGUGCGAUCUGCCAAGUGGACCAAGAACCAUUUGAAGGCUUGAUGGAGGAGAAUGGAGGUAGCCACUGCUCUUCUCCAUACGCACCUUGGGGAGGCCCGUAUCUUUGUCUGGAGUGUCGGAAAAAGAAAGACGCAAUGGAGGGCAAGAGACCGAGCUGCUCGACAGCAUGUAGGUGA
rnacentral:rRNA from 1 species